UUCAUGGAGAGUUUGAUCCUGGCUCAGGAUGAACGCUGGCGGCGUGCCUAAUACAUGCAAGUCGAGCGAACGGACGAGAAGCUUGCUUCUCUGAUGUUAGCGGCGGACGGGUGAGUAACACGUGGAUAACCUACCUAUAAGACUGGGAUAACUUCGGGAAACCGGAGCUAAUACCGGAUAAUAUUUUGAACCGCAUGGUUCAAAAGUGAAAGACGGUCUUGCUGUCACUUAUAGAUGGAUCCGCGCUGCAUUAGCUAGUUGGUAAGGUAACGGCUUACCAAGGCAACGAUGCAUAGCCGACCUGAGAGGGUGAUCGGCCACACUGGAACUGAGACACGGUCCAGACUCCUACGGGAGGCAGCAGUAGGGAAUCUUCCGCAAUGGGCGAAAGCCUGACGGAGCAACGCCGCGUGAGUGAUGAAGGUCUUCGGAUCGUAAAACUCUGUUAUUAGGGAAGAACAUAUGUGUAAGUAACUGUGCACAUCUUGACGGUACCUAAUCAGAAAGCCACGGCUAACUACGUGCCAGCAGCCGCGGUAAUACGUAGGUGGCAAGCGUUAUCCGGAAUUAUUGGGCGUAAAGCGCGCGUAGGCGGUUUUUUAAGUCUGAUGUGAAAGCCCACGGCUCAACCGUGGAGGGUCAUUGGAAACUGGAAAACUUGAGUGCAGAAGAGGAAAGUGGAAUUCCAUGUGUAGCGGUGAAAUGCGCAGAGAUAUGGAGGAACACCAGUGGCGAAGGCGACUUUCUGGUCUGUAACUGACGCUGAUGUGCGAAAGCGUGGGGAUCAAACAGGAUUAGAUACCCUGGUAGUCCACGCCGUAAACGAUGAGUGCUAAGUGUUAGGGGGUUUCCGCCCCUUAGUGCUGCAGCUAACGCAUUAAGCACUCCGCCUGGGGAGUACGACCGCAAGGUUGAAACUCAAAGGAAUUGACGGGGACCCGCACAAGCGGUGGAGCAUGUGGUUUAAUUCGAAGCAACGCGAAGAACCUUACCAAAUCUUGACAUCCUUUGACAACUCUAGAGAUAGAGCCUUCCCCUUCGGGGGACAAAGUGACAGGUGGUGCAUGGUUGUCGUCAGCUCGUGUCGUGAGAUGUUGGGUUAAGUCCCGCAACGAGCGCAACCCUUAAGCUUAGUUGCCAUCAUUAAGUUGGGCACUCUAAGUUGACUGCCGGUGACAAACCGGAGGAAGGUGGGGAUGACGUCAAAUCAUCAUGCCCCUUAUGAUUUGGGCUACACACGUGCUACAAUGGACAAUACAAAGGGCAGCGAAACCGCGAGGUCAAGCAAAUCCCAUAAAGUUGUUCUCAGUUCGGAUUGUAGUCUGCAACUCGACUACAUGAAGCUGGAAUCGCUAGUAAUCGUAGAUCAGCAUGCUACGGUGAAUACGUUCCCGGGUCUUGUACACACCGCCCGUCACACCACGAGAGUUUGUAACACCCGAAGCCGGUGGAGUAACCUUUUAGGAGCUAGCCGUCGAAGGUGGGACAAAUGAUUGGGGUGAAGUCGUAACAAGGUAGCCGUAUCGGAAGGUGCGGCUGGAUCACCUCCUUUCU
rnacentral:rRNA from 1 species